GCCGGGCAUUGUGGCGGGCGCCUGUGGUCCCAGCUACUUGGGAGGCGGAGGCAGGAGACUCGCUUGAGCCCAGGAGUUGGAGGUUGCUGUGAGCUGUAAUGCCAUGGCACUCUACCCAGGGGGACAGCUUGAGGCUUUGUCUCAAAAAAAAAGAUGAAGUCUUCUCAGUCUGACCGAUAAACCAUAUAUAUAUAUAUAUUUUUUGAGACGGAGCCUCAAGCUAUCCCCCUGGGUAGAGUGCCAUGGCAUCACGCUCACAGCAACCUCCAACUCCUGGGCUCAAGCGAGUCUCCUGCCUCAG
rnacentral:SRP_RNA from 1 species